CAAAGAAAUGAAGAUGCUACUAAGAUCGAAGAGAAGACAAGGGAGCCUGAGCCUGAGUUUGAGUUAUCAACUGGCUCUGCAUUCAGUGUGUCCUCAGUGACACUGACUGCACAACAGUGACAAGUCGACAGCAGGUCCUGCCAUGUCAGUGCUGGAUGGCCAAUUUCUGAAAUUCGUUACCCAAGAGCUCACUUCGGCCGCACAAGGUCACUUGCACCCCACCCCCUCCAGCAGUCACGAACCAGAAGCUGAUGAGAAGUGGCGUAUAAAUGCCCCUGCUCGCCGCCGCUCUGGAGGCCCCGUGGGAUCAAGCUCUAGGCAUCCACAGGGUCACCCACUGAGUAACCACCCCUUCCUGGCCGCCUUCCCCCACCGCCAUCUCACGCCCCACCUGCUGCCUGCGCUUCCUGCAACCUUCCCAGAUGAACCACUGGUGCCCGAAUCCUUGUCCCAGGCUCUGCUGCUGGAUAAUCCAGAGCCAACAGCCAGGUCAGACAGGGAAGGACAGAGAAGGCAAGUCUGACGUCAGCCAUUUGGCACUCUAGGCUCCUCCUCUCUUGAAAGAUUCUCAACUUUAAGGAUUUUAUUAAUAGAUUUCCAUAUAUUCUUAUACAUGAAGUUGAAUAAUUUCUUGUUAAAUGACUCACUGGUCCCUGGUUCUGCCAGAAAGCUUGCUUCGAAAUGUCAGUACUGUGUCAAACCGCUAUUAUACACCUGAAACUAAUAUAACAUUGUAGGUCGACUCCACUCCAAUAAUAAAAAUGAGAGUAAAUAAA